GGCGGUUUGACGUGCACGUGAUGCCCUGGAAGAGGGGAAGAAAUUCAGUGAGGACGCAGUGCAUGAUGGUUUCUCUGUCUGCAAACUAAAGAGGUUGUUUGUGCCAGCAGAAACCAUUCAUGAAAGAUGCACCCCUGAGGCUUACAGAGGUAUACUCCAUCAUCUGCUAAGCAGGUAAUAGGAAAUGGCACUGACCCCUCCUGAUCCCCCCGAUUACCUUCGUGAAGCGUGAAUGUGGUAUGGAAUCACACAUCAGGAGACGAGUUGUAAUUAUUUCUGCGAUGCCAUCAGCAUGGAUCAAUCACUCAGGGAGGCUGCGAGUGGAACGCCGCUCGCAGCCAUAGAUGGAGCCAGCAGCGACCAUCUUUGACUGACAGCUUUGGUAAUUAAGUGAUUGUAUAGACCCCUCCGACUGUUAUAACAACCUUGUCAGGGCCAGCCUGUGUUUGGAACACACUCAAAUCAAUGUGUUCUCCACUCCCUAAGCAUUUCUGAUCAUGUACCUCAGACAGAAGAACUCUUUGCAUUGACGCUGCUUUCCUUUAAUAAUUGACAUGGCAGUAAAAGAGAUUUUAAAACACAAAAUAUAUAAUAUAAAAAAUAUACUUAACAUUACCAUUUUAUCAUAUUUUUUUCUCAUAGGAGGCC
ensembl:lncRNA